rnacentral:rRNA from 1 species
AGUGAACGCUGGCGGUAGGCCUAACACAUGCAAGUCGAACGGCAGCACAGUAAGAGCUUGCUCUUACGGGUGGCGAGUGGCGGACGGGUGAGGAAUACAUCGGAAUCUACUUUUUCGUGGGGGAUAAUGUAGGGAAACUUACGCUAAUACCGCAUACGACCUACGGGUGAAAGCAGGGGAUCUUCGGACCUUGCGCGAUUGAAUGAGCCGAUGUCGGAUUAGCUAGUUGGCGGGGUAAAGGCCCACCAAGGCGACGAUCCGUAGCUGGUCUGAGAGGAUGAUUCGCCACACUGGAACUGAGACACGGUCCAGACUCCUACGGGAGGCAGCAGUGGGGAAUAUUGGACAAUGGGCGCAAGCCUGAUCCAGCCAUACCGCGUGGGUGAAGAAGGCCUUCGGGUUGUAAAGCCCUUUUGUUGGGAAAGAAAAGCAGCAGGUUAAUACCCCGCUGUUCUGACGGUACCCAAAGAAUAAGCACCGGCUAACUUCGUG